GUUCAAAUGCAGGACAUAGGAGUACAUGCUGUAUUGUUGCUACAUUUCCCAAAACAGAAGCAAGUGAAAGCUAGCUACAGACGUACUCUUCUUAGGAUUUUAUUUAGAUAAUGGUGCAGAGCAGGCGUACCAGUAAAAAAUGAAAUCCUUCUAAUGCCUAGCAGAGCAGCGUAACAGUCAAAAAGAAAAUCCUUCUAAUGCCUGGGAUCAAAAUAAACCGAAGAAUAAAAACAGGGUUAUCAUGCCCUAUUAAUCUGCACCUUUGAAAAUCAUUCACCUACUUUUUCCCAAGGAGAUCCAGAAUCCAGGGAAUCAAGCAGCAUAUAAAUGCCAUCGAUGCCGAAAUGCCAUCGAUGUUGGCUAGAGGAGGAGAGGAUGACGGCGCGCUGAAGAAGGCAUCUAAAUGGCCCAACAUCCUUCAUCUGUGCACAGCGUGAGGAAUCUCGGUGGAAAAUCAAAGAAUAAGCUUAUAUUAGAUCACAUCCAUGCUUUUUGAAGUAAGG
rnacentral:lncRNA from 1 species